AGCUUUGCGCAGUGGCAGUAUCGUAGCCAAUGAGGUUUAUCCGAGGCGCGAUUAUUGCUAAUUGAAAACUUUUCAUACAUUCCAUUUCUAAUGUGAUCAGUCGUUUUCAUGCAGUGUUCCCUUUUCCUUGACGCAACCACACUGCUAUUUUAUUCAAAUAUUAAUUUGUGAAGGGCAGAAUGGGUGGAAGAGGAACAGC
ensembl:snRNA U4 U4 spliceosomal RNA